GCUAGGUAACUACUAGCGCCUUGACGGUAUCUAACCAGAAAGUCACGGCUAACUACGUGCCAGCAGCCGCGGUAAUACGUAGGUGACAAGCGUUGUCCGGAUUUAUUGGGCGUAAAGGGAGCGCAGGCGGUCUGUUUAGUCUAAUGUGAAAGCCCACGGCUUAACCGUGGAACGGCAUUGGAAACUGACAGACUUGAAUGUAGAAGAGGAAAAUGGAAUUCCAAGUGUAGCGGUGGAAUGCGUAGAUAUUUGGAGGAACACCAGUGGCGAAGGCGAUUUUCUGGUCUAACAUUGACGCUGAGGCUCGAAAGCGUGGGGAGCGAACAGGAUUAGAUACCCUGGUAGUCCACGCCGUAAACGAUGAGUGCUAAGUGUUGGGGGCUUUCCGGCCCUCGGUGCUGGAGCUAACGUAUUAAGCACUCCGCCUGGGGAUUACGACCGCAAGGUUGAAACUCAAAAGAAUUGACGGGGACCCGCACAAGCGGUGGAGCAUGUGGUUUAAUUCGAAGCAACGCGAAGAACCUUACCAGCUCUUGACAUCUUCUGACAACUCUAGAGAUAGAGCGUUCCCUUCGGGGACAGAAUGACAGGUGGUGCAUGGUUGUCGUCAGCUCGUGUCGUGAGAUGUUGGGUUAAGUCCCGUAACGAGCGCAACCCUUGUUGUUAGUUGCCAGCAUUAAGUUGGGCACUUUAACGAGACUGCCGGUGAUAAACCGGAGGAAGGCGGGGAUGACGUCAAAUCAUCAUGCCCCUUAUGAGCUGGGCUACACACGUGCUACAAUGGAUGGUACAACGAGCAGCGAUCCCGCAAGGGCUAGCUAAUCUUUCAAAGCCAUUCUCAGUUCGGAUUGCACUCUGCAACUCGAGUGCAUGAAGUCGGAAUCGCUAGUAAUCGCGAAUCAGAAUGUCGCGGUGAAUCCGUUCCCGGGUCUUGUACACACCGCCCGUCACACCACGAGAGUUUGAAACACCCGAAGUCGGCCGGCCAACCCUAUGGGAGGCAGCCGUCGAAGGUGGGUUGAAUGAUUGGGGUGAAGUCGUAACAAGGUAGCCGUAUCGGAAGGUGCGGCUGGAUCACCUCCUUUCUAAGGA
rnacentral:rRNA from 1 species